UAUGUGAUCGUCUCUCGCAUAUCAAUAAGCGGAGGAAAAGAAACUAACAAGGAUUCCCCUGAGUAACGGCGAGUGAAGCGGGAAGAGCUCAAAUUUGAAAUCUUAAAGGGUUUCCCUUUACGAAUUGUAGUUUAAAGAAGUGUUUUCUGUUGAGGUUUUGGUAAAAGUUCUUUGGAAUAGGACAUCAUAGAGGGUGAGAAUCCCGUAUUUGACCUUUACUUUCAACUUUGUGAUACACUUUCAAAGAGUCGGAUUGUUUGGGAAUGCAGUCCAAAAUGGGUGGUAAAUUUCAUCUAAAGCUAAAUAUUGGCGAGAGACCGAUAGCGAACAAGUACCGUGAGGGAAAGAUGAAAAGAACUUUGAAAAGAGAGUUAAACAGUACGUGAAAUUGUCAAAAGGGAAGCGUUUGACACCAGUGUUGUUUUUCUGAAAAUCAAUUAAAGAACUGUUUAUGCUAAGCUGUUUAGACUUUAUCAGCUAACUGUUUAGUUUUGAGCUUUUCUUUAAUGCACUUUUCAGUUAACAAGUCAACAUCAAUUUCUUUUGCUGUAAAAAGCUUGAGGAAGGUGGCUUGAGAUUCGUCUUAAGUGCUUAUAGCCUCUUGCCUAUGCAGUCGGAGAGAUUGAGGUCUGCAGCGUAGAUCCUUCGGGGCUAAAUGCAUUUGUGCUAAGUUAUAGCAUUUUAUAGACAACUUGUUGACUAUGAUUUGUCUUGUAGCUUACUCGCUUAUGUUAUUUUACCUACGCUUAGGAUGUUGAGUAGCGACAUACGCAC
rnacentral:rRNA from 1 species